GGAUACCAGUUUGUGUAGGUGAUGCAGUGUGUUUGUGUGUAGUGGAAGCAGUGUGUAUUUGUGUAUAAGGGAUGUAUUGUGUGUUUCUGGUUGUGUGUAAGGGAUGCAUUGCGUGAAUCUGUGUUUGUAUGCAUAAGGGAUGCAAGGUGUGUGUCUGUAUGUGUGUGCAUUGAGUGUGAGUAAGAGAUGCAUUGUGUUUCUGUGUGUAUGUGUGUAUGUAUG